rnacentral:lncRNA from 1 species
CGAUAUUAGCUAGCUUCCUACUACACUCAAACUCUAAAAUGGAGGAGUCAGAGGUGGGCGAAUUAUCUGUGGAAGACGAGCCGAAGAGACGAAGGAUUUCCUUGAAGAGGACGUCCACGGUCAACUCAGAAACCUCCCCCGCCACUGUCAACAACUCCAAAAAACCUCCACUGUGCCGAGGGAGUUCCUUCACCUUUCUGACUCCAGGAACACCAUGGGACUUCAGUCUGAAGAGGAAACAUAAAGAGCCCAAGGAUGAUGACACUGUCAGUCUGUCCAGCUUUGACCUCAAAGUAAAGAGAAAACGCAAAGAGAAAAAGGAGGAUGACGACACCGUCAGUCUGUCCAGUUUUGACCUCAAAGAGCCCAGUAACAAGCGUGUGCGGCCACUGAGCCGGGUGUCAUCUCUGGCUAACCUGAUCUCCCCUUCCAAGAAUGGAGCCGUCCGACGCUUUGGUCAAACCAUCCAGAACAUGUCACUGCGGGGUGACAGCAAGUCGCCGGGGACGUCCCUGAAGUCGUGCAGUAAGGCAGCGGGCCCAACACCUCCCAAACGUAGAAACAGCACUCUGUGGUCUGAAACACUGGACGUUCACCAGAAGAGCACCUUCUCCACCAAAGAGAUUAAGAGACAGGAGGCCAUUCAUGAGCUAUCCAGAGGAGAACAAACCUUAUUGAAGACCUCCAAUGGCACGAAAGGUAAAGGGAGGACUAACUCAUAUAUUGGAGAUCUGGAUUCGUACAUUCCACUUCAUGAAGACUUGUUGGAUAAGCUUGCAAAGGGCACCGGUCCUAAUGGAACAGUUGGUCAGAUUGGACAGAUCGUCGUGGACUGGUUGCCAGGUCUGAAUGCGUACAGAGACUAUUGCAGUAACCAGCUAGCUGCCAAGGCCCUGUUGGACCAGAAGAAGCAGGACAGGAAGGUGCAGGACUUCCUGCAGCGCUGCCUGGAGUCUCCCUUCAGUAGGAAGCUGGACCUGUGGAGCUUCCUGGAUAUACCCAGGAGCCGGCUGGUGAAAUAUCCCCUAUUGCUGAGAGAGAUACUGAGACAUACACCACCAGAUCACCCUGACGUUCCCUGUCUGGAGAAGGCGAUAGCCAUCAUCCAGGGUGUGCUGUCUGACAUCAACAUGAGGAAGGGAGAGUCAGAGAGUCAGUACUACAUUAAUAAGCUGGAGUAUCUGGACGACAGGCAGAGAGACCCGCUCAUCGACAACUGCAAGACCUUGUUGUGUCACGGAGAGCUACGCAACAAGAGUGGCUCGAAGCUGCACGUGUUCCUGUUCUCUGAGCUGCUGGUGCUGACGAGGCCGGUGACACGUCACGAGCGGAGCUGCUACCAGGUGUACCGUCAGCCCCUCCCCAUCAGAGACCUGGCUCUGGAGGACCUGCAGGAUGGAGACGUACGCAUGGGAGGGUCAUUCAGAGGGGCCUUCAGCCAGGGGGAGAAAGCUAAGAACGUGUUCCGCGUGACCUCCCUGGACCCGACCCACGGCCAGUCUCACACUCUGCAGGUCAACGACGUCUUCCACAAGCAGCAGUGGCUCAACUGUCUCCGCAGCGCCAUCGACGCCCAACCUCAACAGCAGAGGGCGCCACUCAGAGAUCAGCACAGUGAGGCUACAACCAUGACCAGGGCCAAGCGUCGUUCUUCUGUGGUGUCCAUGUCUGAUAUGGUGGGGGAAGGGGCAGAUGAGAAUGUCUGGCACCAGGUCGGUGAGCCAAUCCUUGGGUGUAAAGGCACAGAGACAAUCCCCGCGUCUGGUUCUUCAAGUAAAAUCAAAAGAGAGUGGCGCCGUGGUACGCAGCACAGGAGGAAAGAGACUGGGGUUUAGGAGAACGGAAGAGUCCACGGAGCCUCGUGGGAUGUCUACACCUGUACACCUUCAUUCAUUUGUAUUUUUACUGUGUCUUCUUCUUCUAUGGUGUUAUGUUGGACUUCUUACUUGUGAUAUUAAUGUGUAGGCUACUUGUUUGUGAAUUUCCAUGACACCUGUCUGUCAAGUAGUGAUUUUGCAUAAAAGAGUAUGUAUGACAAUAGCAGUGAUGUACCAUGACGACCAUGUAGUAAGCUAUGUCAAAACCGUCCAAUCACAUCCGUCCAGUCUGUGCACUGCAAACCAAUGAAAUUGAAGAGUUCUGUAAAUUUCAGGAGAAAAAAAGGUAUUGGUUUACUUUACAGGGGAAUGAUAUAUGUCAACCAAAUUGACUAAAAAUGGUUUACAGCGAUUAUGAGAAUUAGGAUUUUACACCUUUUUUUUUUUAAACUUUUUUUUUUUUUUUUAAUGUUAAACUGACUAACUCUGUUUUUAUACAAAAUAGCACUGUUUUUGCUCCUAGAAUAGAAUAUAUGUUGCUUGGAACUGGAAUUUAUUAACCACUGAUUUGAUUUGAAGUCAUUAUUUCUACAGGGUGGUUCAGUGUGUCCUUCGUUACUAUUAAAAAGGCCUGUGUUGGCUUUGUUGAGAUUUUCUCGUGUCCCAAAUGACAGCCUUCCUGUUUUUUUUUUUGGGGGGGGGGGGGGUUCAGAGCCCUAUGUGGCCUGGUCAAAAGUAGUUACAUAUAUCGGGUUAUGGGGUGCCAUUUUGAGACUGGAGCCUCUCUUUCCAUGCAGCACCAUGUGUUGAGGUUGAUCUUCAGUAGUGUACACAGUGCAGACCACAUGCAAAUAUUAGUCAACUGUCUGAUGUGUUGUUGUGGAGACAAAGGUGACAAAGGAUGAAAUGAGUAUGUUGUUAUGAGAAGGCUCGGUAACUUGUGUGCCGAUUCUCUACCCUCCUUCACAAGGAAGUGUUCACUCUCUCACAUUUUAAAAGUCUUGGAUUAGUGUAAGUACGGCAGAAUGGAGUUUCUAACAUAUUCCUUAAACCAGUCCGUUCCUUUUAAAUCCGUGAAGGAGAGUGCGCAAGUGUAGGGUAUGAGGGCACGCCUGGAGAGAAGGGUAGAGAAUUGGACUGCAACUGAGUUGUAUUAAUGAUGGGAAAGUAAAGGUUUCGGAAUGGGUUCUCUUGAGAACUGGAGGUGAGAGAAGUACGAAACUGACACCACAAUCAACCACAAGCUAUGCUGUGUGCAAAGAGAGGGGGAAAAGUAUCACUGGAAUGCUUUGUAUGGAUAGUGGAAAAAAGGGAAAGACCAAUUAAAGAUUAUGUGAGGGGAAAAUCUGUGAGAAGCUACCUGUGUUCCUUUUCAAUUAAAAGUAAAGAGCUUUGAUGUUUUAAUCGAUGCUGUGAGAUUUCCGUUUGUCAGCUGUCACUGGUGAAGAGAACAAGACCUCUGAUGUGAAGAAAGAGGAAGUCCUCUAGUGUGUGUGUGUGUGUGUGUCAGCAUGCUCGGAAGCAGACAGUGACCGCUAAACCAUGCUUACUUGCGCAAUCGUUUUAACCCUGGAAAGCCCCUACUUCCAUGGCUACAUCCACCAAACAAGAUGCUCCUUCCCCAUUCUCCAACAGAUUAUUAACUGACAGUUUGUCAUUUCAGAUAAAAGCUCAUGUUAACCACACAGUAGUUCUGUAUUUCUCCUCAACAAGUAUUGUGAAUAUGGCACUGCUUGGUGCUCGGUUUACAUGUUCCAACAUAUAACACAAUAUACAGUAGCAGUUUAAAGUUUGGGCACACCUACUCAUUCAAGGGUUUUUCUUUAUUUUUACAUAUUUCCUACAUAGAAUAAUAGCGAAGACAUCAAAGUUAUGAAAUAACACAGAAUCAUGUAGUAACUGAAAAAGUGUUAUAUCAAAAUAUAUUUUAUAUUUGAGAUCCUUCAAAAGUAGAGGCUCUUUGCCUUGAUGACAGCGUUGCACACUCUUGGCAUUCUCUCAACCAGCUUCACCUGGAAUGAUUUUCCAACUGUCUUGAAGGAGUUCCCACAUAUGCUUGUUGGCUGCUUUUCCUUCACUCUGCGGGCCAACUCAUCCCAAACCAUCUCAAUUGGGUUGAGGUCGGGUGAUUGUGGAGGCCAAGUCAUCUGAUGCAGCACUCCAUCACUCUCCUUCUCGGUCAAAUAGCCCUUACACAGCCUGGAGGUGUGUUGAGUCAUUGUCCUGUUGAAAAACAAAUUAUAGUCCCACAAAGCGCAAACCAGAUGGGAAGGCGUAUCACUGCAGAAUAAUGUGGUAUAUAUUUGGACUGCAAUUUCUGAGGCUGGUAGCUAAUGAACGUAUCCUCUGCAGCAGAGGUAACUCUGGGUCUUCCUUUCCUAUGGCGGUCCUCGUGAGAGUCAGUUUCAUCAUAGCGCUUGAUGGUUUUUGCAACUGCACUUGAAUAAACUUUCAAAGUUCUUGACA